GGGGAUGCAGUGAUUAUAAAUAAAUUCCUCGUACUGAAAUGCCUUCUUUCUGGGCAUGACAGACUAUCUUAUACACCCAUAGAAUCUGAGCUCC
rfam:Ricinus communis cultivar Hale ctg_1100012296463, whole genome shotgun sequence.